UACGUAGGGUGCAAGCGUUGUCCGGAAUUAUUUGGGCGUAAAGAGCUCGUAGGCGGUUUGUUCGCGUCUGCUGUGAAAACUCGGGGCUUAACUCCGGGCCUGCAGUGGGUACGGGCAGACUAGAGUGCGGUAGGGGAGACUGGAAUUCCUGGUGUAGCGGUGAAAUGCGCAGAUAUCAGGAGGAACACCGUGGCGAAGGCGGGUCUCUGGGCCGUAACUGACGCUGAGGAGCGAAAGCGUGGGGAGCGAACAGG
rnacentral:rRNA from 1 species